GAUGAAUGCUGGCGGCGUGCUUAACACAUGCAAGUCGAGCGGUAAGGCCCUUCGGGGUACACGAGCGGCGGACGGCUGAUUAACGCGUGGGAACAGGCCCUAGAGUGAGGAAUAACUGCCGGAAAGGGCGGCUAAUGCCGAAUAUGAUGCCCGGAUUAAAGGAUUUAUGCGCUUGAGGAGUGGCCAGCGUACGAUUAGCUUGUUGGUGAGGUAAUGGCUUACAAAGGCGACGAUCGUUAGCUGGUCUGAGAGGAUGACAAGCCAGACUGGAACUGAGACACGGUCCAGACUCCUACGGGAGGCAGCAGUGAGGAAUCUUCCACAAUGGGCGAAAGCCUGAUGGAGCAACGCCGCGUGCAGGAUGAAGGCCUUCGGGUUGUAAACUGCUUUUGUACGGAACGAAAAGGCUCUGGUUAAUACCCGGGGCUCAUGACGGUACCGUAAGAAUAAGCACCGGC
rnacentral:rRNA from 1 species